CCGACUCUUGCACAUCCCGGCCGUUGUUGUUUAGCUCUUCACUCCCAAACGUCGCGACUAGUACCUGGGGUAAGUUUUCCUGAAGCUUAUCGGAACGCGUAGUUCUGUUGCGUCCUGCCAAAGUCUGAACGUCUGAACGGGAGUCGCCGGAAGUACUGUAGCUUGCCAGAAAUCCUCGCUGGAAAAAUAAGUCACAUGUCCAAGAAAACAGAAUACUCCCCCCCCCCCUACACACACAAA
rnacentral:lncRNA from 1 species